CCUACGGGGCGCAGCAGUGGGGGAUAUUGCACAAUGGGGGGAACCCUGAUGCAGCGACGCCGCGUGGGUGAAGAAGCGCCUCGGCGCGUAAAGCCCUGUCAGCAGGGAAGAAAAUGACGGUACCUGAAGAAGAAGCCCCGGCUAACUACGUGCCAGCAGCCGCGGUAAUACGUAGGGGGCAAGCGUUAUCCGGAUUUACUGGGUGUAAAGGGGGCGCAGACGGCGAUGCAAGCCAGGAGUGAAAGCCCGGGGCCCAACCCCGGGACUGCUCUUGGAACUGCGUGGCUAGAGUGCAGGGGAGGCAG
rnacentral:rRNA from 1 species